rnacentral:rRNA from 1 species
AGAGUUUGAUCCUGGCUCAGAGCGAACNNGCGGCAGGCUUAACACAUGCAAGUCGAACGGAUGGCUUCGGCCAUCAGUGGCAGACGGGUGAGUAACGCGUGGGAACAUGCCCUUCGGUUCGGAAUAACCAAUGGAAACGUUGGCUAAUACCGGAUACGCCCUUUUGGGGAAAGGUUUACUGCCGAGGGAUUGGCCCGCGUCCGAUUAGCUUGUUGGUGAGGUAAUGGCUCACCAAGGCGACGAUCGGUAGCUGGUCUGAGAGGAUGAUCAGCCACACUGGGACUGAGACACGGCCCAGACUCCUACGGGAGGCAGCAGUGGGGAAUAUUGGACAAUGGGGGCAACCCUGAUCCAGCCAUGCCGCGUGAGUGAUGAAGGCCUUAGGGUUGUAAAGCUCUUUCGCACGCGACGAUAAUGACGGUAGCGUGAGAAGAAGCCCCGGCUAACUUCGUGCCAGCAGCCGCGGUAAUACGAAGGGGGCUACGUUGCUCGGAAUCACUGGGCGUAAAGCGCGGUAGGCGGAUCUUUAAGUCAGGGGUGAAAUCCCGGGGCUCAACCCCGGAACUGCCUUUGAUACUGGGGAUCUUGAGUUCGAGAGAGGUUGGUGGAACUGCGAGUGUAGAGGUGAAAUUCGUAGAUAUUCGCAAGAACACCAGUGGCGAAGGCGCCAACUGGCUCGACACUGCGCUGAGGCGCGAAAGCGUGGGGAGCAAACAGGAUUAGAUACCCUAGUAGUCC